rnacentral:tRNA from 1 species
GGAGGGGUAGCGAAGAGGCUAAACGCGGCAGACUGUAAAUCUGCUCCCGGGUGGGUUCGGCGGUUCGAAUCCGUCCCCCUCCACCA